rnacentral:tRNA from 1 species
GCUGCAGAGGCUAAACGGUGAGCGCUCCGUUGGUAAGGGAGGGGCCGAGAGUUCAAUUUUCUCUUGCAUCACCA